rnacentral:rRNA from 1 species
UACGUAGGGCGCAAGCGUUGUCCGGAAUUAUUGGGCGUAAAGAGCUCGUAGGCGGUCUGUCGCGUCGGAUGUGAAAGCCCGGGGCUUAACCCCGGGUCUGCAUUCGAUACGGGCAGACUAGAGUGUGGUAGGGGAGAUCGGAAUUCCUGGUGUAGCGGUGAAAUGCGCAGAUAUCAGGAGGAACACCGGUGGCGAAGGCGGAUCUCUGGGCCAUUACUGACGCUGAGGAGCGAAAGCGUGGGGAGCAAACAGG